CCAYUGAGCUGCAACCCCAGCCCUGAAAGUCUUGCAUAAACAUUGGCAUCUUGGAUUCUGCACAUUUCCAGGAGAGAAACUCGGAGAAAAGAUGUGUACUGACAAUUUUAAAAACUAUGCCACAUCCUUUCCAGUUGCUGGGAUUACAGGUGUGCACCACCCUGCCUAUCUUCAAGUCAAUAGUUAUUGGUAUCCCCAUUCUACGGUUA